rnacentral:rRNA from 1 species
GACAGAGGGGGCAAGCGUUGCUCGGAAUUACUGGGCGUAAAGGGCGCGUAGGCGGGAUGGUAAGUCGGUCGUGAAAUCCCUCGGCUCAACCGAGGAACGUCGAUCGAUACUACCGUUCUUGAGGAUUGCAGAGGAGACUGGAAUUCCCGGUGUAGCGGUGAAAUGUGUAGAGAUCGGGAGGAACACCGGUGGCGAAGGCGGGUCUCUGGGCAAUUCCUGACGCUGAGGCGCGAAAGCUAGGGGAGCAAACAGG